AAGGAUCAUUAUCGAAUAAACUUGAACAGGCUGUUGCUGGUCCCAGGACAAUGUGCACGCUUGUCAUCUUUAUCAUUUUCUCCAACUGUGCACGUAUUGUAGACCCUGGAUUUGUUCCGAGUGGGGACUGCUGUGCUUCAAAAGAAGUCGGCUUUCCCUUGAAGGUCUAUGUUCACAACCUCUCGAAUUUGUUUAGAAUGUCGAAAUAAAAAAGUUAAUAAAUACAACUUUCAGCAACGGAUCUCUUGGCUCUC
rnacentral:misc_RNA from 1 species